GAUGAAGAACGCAGUGAAAUGCGAUAAGUAAUGUGAAUUGCAGAAUUCAGUGAAUCAUCGAGUCUUUGAACGCACAUUGCGCCCCCUGGUAUUCCGGGGGGCAUGCCUGUCCGAGCGUCAUUGCUGCCCUCAAGCACGGCUUGUGUGUUGGGCCCCGCCCCCCGGCUCCCGGGGGGCGGGCCCGAAAGGCAGCGGCGGCACCGCGUCCGGUCCUCGAGCGUAUGGGGCUUCGUCACCCGCUCCGUAGGCCCGGCCGGCGCCCGCCGGACCCCCCUCAAUCUUUUCAGGUUGACCUCGGAUCAGGUAGGGAUACCCGCUGAACUUAAGCAUAUCAAUAAGCGGAGGA
rnacentral:misc_RNA from 1 species